UUGGAAUAGCCAAAGGGCUUGAAUACCUACAUGGUGGAUGCAACACUCGAAUUUUACAUUUGGACAUCAAACCGCAUAACAUCCUUUUGGAUGAAAAUUUUCACCCUAAGAUUGCUGAUUUUGGGCUCUCUAAACUAUGCUCCAGAAAAGAAUGUAUUACAUCAAUGGAUGAUGCAAGGGGGACAAUUGGGUACAUUGCUCCUGAAGUAUACAGUAGAAGCUUUGGAAGAGUUUCACAUAAGUCGGACGUGUAUAGCUAUGGGAUGCUGAUUUUAGAAAUGGCCAGUGGAAGGACGAAUGCAAACAUUAGAAUAGAUGAUGCAAGUAAAAUAUAUUUUCCACAUUGGAUCUAUCACCGUCUCCAAUUCGAAAAUGACUUGGGACUAUAUUCUGUCAGGACCAAAGAGGAAGAUGAAAUUGCAAGAAGACUGCUAUUGGUGGGGUUGUGGUGCAUACAGACAAACCCUUCCCAUAGACCAUCUAUGAGCAAGGUUUUGCUCAUGUUGGAAGCUUGUAGUAAAGAAUUGGAAA
rnacentral:misc_RNA from 1 species